ACUCCUACGGGAGGCAGCAGUAGGAAUAUUGGUCAAUGGGCGAGAGCCUGAACCAGCCAUGCCGCGUGCAGGAAGACGGCCUUCUGGGUUGUAAACUGCUUUUUAUCAGGGAACAAAAAGGCCAUGCGUGGCAAAUUGCGUGUACCUGAAGAAUAAGGACCCGGCUAACUCCGUGCCAGCAGCCGCGGUAAUACGGAGGGUCCAAGCGUUGUCCGGAUUUAUUGGGUUUAAAGGGUGCGUAGCGGCCCUAUAAGUCAGUGGUGAAAUCCUUCAGCUCAACUGGAGAACUGCCAUUGAUACUGUAGGCUUGAGUACAGACGAGGUAGGCGGAAUUUAUGGUGUAGCGGUG
rnacentral:rRNA from 1 species